GGUCUUUUCGUCUAGUGGUUAGGACACCCGGUUUUGAAGCCAAUGUCCGUGUGGCCCAGGUUCGAAUCCUGGAUGGACCU
rnacentral:tRNA from 1 species